AUCCUUUUGUAGUUCAUAAGUGUUAUGAUUGGGUUAUCAUGUGACUACGUGAGAUGUGCCACCCACAAACCUUGGGUACGACGUUGGCACAUUACCCGUCUGACA
rnacentral:snoRNA from 1 species